rnacentral:rRNA from 1 species
ACGUAGGGUGCGAGCGUUAAUCGGAAUUACUGGGCGUAAAGCGUACGCAGGCGGUUGGGUAAGACAGGUGUGAAAUCCCCGGGCUUAACGUGGGAACUGCAUUUGUGACUGGCAGACUUGAGUGCGGCAGAGGGGGGUGGAAUUCCACGUGUAGCAGUGAAAUGCGUAGAGAUGUGGAGGAACAUCGAUGGCGAAGGCAGCCCCCUGG